AGAGUUUGAUCCUGGCUCAGGACGAACGCUGGCGGCGUGCCUAAAACAUGCAAGUCGAACGAGGGAGCAAUCCCUAGUGGCGAACGGCGGAGUAAGACAUGAACAACGUGCCCCAAAGCCCGGGACAAACGCAGAAAUGCCAUAAAUACCGGAUGUGGCCCUUCUUCGGCAUCGAGGGAGGAUUAAACGGAUUUUCGCUUUGGGAGCGGUUCAUGGUCCAUCAGGUAGUUGGGGGGGUAACGGCCCACCAAGCCGACGACGGAUAGCGGGUCUGAGAGGAUGAUCCGCCCGAGUGGGACUGAGACACGGCCCACACACCUACGGGUGGCAGCAGUUGGGAAUCUUGCACAAUGGGGGAAACCCUGAUGCAGCGACGCCGCGUGGAGGAUGAAGGGUCUAGGCCUGUAAACUCCUUUUACCAGGAAAGACUUAGGACGGUACCUGGGGAAUAAGGACCGGCUAACUACGUGCCAGCAGCCGCGGUAAGACGUAGGGUCCAAGCGUUGUCCGGAUUUACUGGGCGUAAAGAGCGCGUAGGCGGUCCGUUAAGUGUAGAGUGAAAGCUCCGGGCUCAACCCGGAAAUCUCUGCAUACUGGCGGACUUGAGGGUGGCAGAGGUUUGUGGAAUUUCUGGUGUAGCGGUGAAAUGCGUAGAUAUCAGGAGGAACCCCAUGGCGAAGGCGGCAAACUGGGCCACAUCUGACGCUGAGGCGCGAAAGCGUGGGUAGCAAACAGGAUUAGAUACCCUAGUAGUCC
rnacentral:rRNA from 1 species